rfam:Drosophila virilis strain TSC#15010-1051.87 Ctg01_16624, whole genome shotgun sequence.
AGUAUGUCCAGUCUAAUUCUGCAUCAUGUCACUUGGAUAUUGUUGCAGACUCGCUUUUGGACAAGAGCAAUGUAUGUCUUUUAUUAUCCUUGUGCUUGUGGCAACACUCAGCUCAAUGCACACGAGAAACGUAGAAGAACAAUC